GUAGGUGAACCUGCGGAAGGACCAUUAUUGAAUGAACAUGGAGUCGGUUGUCGCUGGCCCCUUCACUGGGGCAUGUGCACGCCUUCUCUAUUCAUCCACACACACCUGAGAACUUGUGAGACGGAUAGUAGUCCCCUCGGUAAGCUCCGUCUGCUAUACAUAAACUCCAGUAAAUAAAUUUGAAUGUCAUCUGAUGUAACGCAUCUAUAAACUAAGUUUCAACAACGGAUCUCUUGGCUCUC
rnacentral:misc_RNA from 1 species